UGUUAUACUGAAAGAACCUAGUGGGGAAACCCCCACUCAACUCUCAAUUCGGCGUGCACCCAAGAAUCACGAAAAUAACA
rnacentral:pre_miRNA from 7 species